rnacentral:pre_miRNA from 1 species
UCUUACAGAUGAGCAAAGAAAGUGGUUUCUUGAGAUGGAAUCUACUCCUAGUGAAGAUGAUGUAAA